rnacentral:rRNA from 1 species
CGGCGGACGGGUGAGUAACACGUGGAUAACAUACCUAUAAGACUGGGAUAACUUCGGGAAACCGGAGCUAAUACCGGAUAAUAUAUUGAACCGCAUGGUUCAAUAGUGAAAGACGGUUUUGCUGUCACUUAUAGAUGGAUCCGCGCCGCAUUAGCUAGUUGGUAAGGUAACGGCUUACCAAGGCAACGAUGCGUAGCCGACCUGAGAGGGUGAUCGGCCACACUGGAACUGGGACACGGUCCAG